UACGUAGGGUGCGAGCGUUGUCCGGAAUUACUGGGCGUAAAGAGCUCGUAGGCGGCUUGUCGCGUUGUUCGUGAAAAUUUACCGCUCAACGGUGAACUUGCGGGCGAUACGGGCAGGCUAGAGUACUGCAGGGGAGACUGGAAUUCCUGGUGUAGCGGUGAAAUGCGCAGAUAUCAGGAGGAACACCAAUGGCGAAGGCAGCUCGCUGGGACGUGACUGACGCUGAGACGCGAAAGCGUGGGGAGCAAACAGG
rnacentral:rRNA from 1 species